rnacentral:rRNA from 1 species
UACGAAGGGGGCUAGCGUUGCUCGGAAUUACUGGGCGUAAAGCGCACGUAGGCGGCUUUCUAAGUCGGGGGUGGAAAUCCUGGAGCUCAACUCCAGAACUGCCUUCGAUACUGGAGAGCUCGAGUCCGGGAGAGGUGAGUGGAACUGCGGAGUGUAGAGGUGAAAUUCGUAGAUAUUCGCAAGAACACCAGUGGCGAAGGCGGCUCACUGGCCCGGUACUGACGCUGAGGUGCGAAAGCGUGGGGAGCAAACAGGG